ensembl:lncRNA
UUCCUUCCUACCUGAGGCUUAUUAAGGGAAGGAGAAAGAAAGCAGCAGGAGGCUUGAUGCGUACUACAUUUUUUCUCCAAGUACUCUUCAAUUUGUGAAGAAUAUCAUUUUUGUUUCGUGUGUUCGGUCUUUUUGAGUGAGAUUUUCAGUAUAAGGGAGCUGUUGAGUACCAGGGGUUUAAUGAUCUGCUACCGUGAUGUGAUGCUGGAGUUGGAAUUACUUGGUGUGUGUUUUAUUUUAACUUCGAAAGAUAAACCGUCUCAUUUCAUUUACAAAAGAAGCUGAAGAAUAUAUUAAGCAAAAGACUGGAUUAGGUCAUUUUAAGGGCUCAUUUCAUUGUUUAAAUGUAAAACAAAGCUAAAUCAAGAUGCAGAU